CGGUGGAGUAUGUGGUUUAAUUCGAUGCAACGCGAAGAACCUUACCUGGUCUUGACAUCCCGGAGACCCUUAGGAACUAGGGGUGCUUCCAUCUGGAGAAUCUGGAGACAGGUGCUGCAUGGCUGUCGUCAGCUCGUGUCGUGAGAUGUUGGGUUAAGUCCCGCAACGAGCGCAACCCUUGCCUUUAGUUGCCAGCAGUUCGGCUGGGCACUCUAAAGGGACUGCCGGUGUUAAACCGGAGGAAGGUGGGGAUGACGUCAAGUCCUCAUGGCCUUUAUGACCAGGGCUACACACGUACUACAAUGGCCGAUACAAAGGGCAGCGACACUGCGAGGUGAAGCCAAUCCCGUAAAAUCGGUCUCAGUCCGGAUUGGAGUCUGCAACUCGACUCCAUGAGGUUGGAAUCGCUAGUAAUCGUGGAUCAGCAUGCCACGGUGAAUACGUUCCCGGGCCUU
rnacentral:rRNA from 1 species